CACUGGAGAUACAGUUACACGUGACUGCCUAGAGGCAAUAGAGGCAGUGUAUCCAGCGACUGGACUUAAAAGAGGAACCCCUGGAGGAUGCUGAGGACUCCUGGUUCACAGAUGGGAGUGGUUUUAUCUGGAAAGAAGUACGUAAGACUGGAUAUGCAGUAACCACUGUAAAUGAGGUAAUAGAGGCAAGAGCCCUCCGUGUCAACACCUCAGCCCAAAAACCAGAAAUUAUAGCCCUAACCUGAACACUGCAGCUCACAAAAGGAAAGAAGAUAAAUAUCUGGACAGACUCAAAAUAUGCAUUUGGAGUCAUUCAUGUUCAUGGGGCAAUUUGAAAAGAAAGAAGACUAUUAUCUGGGCAAGGAAAGUUGAUUAAAUAUGCAGAUGAAAUCCUUGAACAAUUACAAGCAUUCCAGUUGCCAGGAAAAGUUGCUAUUGUGCAUUGCAAAGUUCACUAAAAGGGCAUUACUGACCAUGAAAGAGGAAACGCCAUGGCUGAUCGAGAGGCAAAAAGGGCAGCUGAAGCAGAAGAAAGUAAAAUCCAGUCUUUGAUCCCUGAUGGUAAGAUUCAAAUUCAACAGUCUAAUAUAAAGCCUAGAUACUCUAAAGAAGACCAAAAGUCAAUCCAGGAUUUAGAAAGAGAAAUAAAAGAAAACAAAUGAGCCAAGACACCGGAGGGUAAAAAGCUUACCUGGGUGGCCAAGGAGAGGGUCCUGACCUCCGGUGGAUUCUUCAGCCGGAUGAGAAGCUAGCUUUGUCCCAUCUGGGGUGGCCAAACGAAUCUGAGAAAUCUGUAUAGGUGCAAAGAGUGUCAAUACUUUCCAGAAGCAUCAGAUUUACUCUUGGCGCCCACUACAGUUCUGUGACUUUACAGCUGACAAGGAUCUCCAGGUGAGUACAAAUACAAGCAUUUACAAACAAGUGCAUAAACCACUCAAA